GGCUCAGGACGAACGCUGGCGGCAUGCCUAACACAUGCAAGUCUAGGGGUAGCAAUACCACUGGCGCACGGGUGAGUAACACGUAGGUUAUCUGCCCCCAUCACAGACAUAACCCCGGGAAACCGGGGCUAAUAUCUGAUGAGGUCGCGAGAUCAAAGCUUCGGCGGAUGGGGAUGAGCCUGCGGCUGAUUAGCUAGUUGGUGAGGUAAUGGCUCACCAAGGCGACGAUCAGUAGCUGGUCUGAGAGGACGAACAGCCACACUGGAACUGAGACACGGUCCAGACUCCUACGGGAGGCAGCAGUGAGGAAUAUUGGUCAAUGGGAGCAAUCCUGAACCAGCAAUGCCGCGUGUGGGAUGACAGGGCUUCGCCUUGUAAACCACUGUCGGACGGGACGAAAGGAGGCCUCGGGCCUCUGGGACGGUACCGUCAAAGGAAGGGUCGGCUAACUACGUGCCAGCAGCCGCGGUAAUACGUAGGACCCGAGCGUUGUCCGGAUUUACUGGGUAUAAAGGGUGCGUAGGCGGCCUUGUGCGUCAGAGGUGAAAUAUCUGGGCUUAACCCGGAGGGUGCCUUUGAUACGGCAGGGCUUGAGUGCGAGAGAGGAUGAUGGAAUUCCUGGUGUAGCGGUGAAAUGCGUAGAUAUCAGGAGGAACACCGGUGGCGAAGGCGGUCAUCUGGCUCGUAACUGACGCUGAGGCACGAAAGCGCGGGGAUCAAACAGGAUUAGAUACCCUGGUAGUCCGCGCCCUAAACGAUGUAUGCUUGGUGUUGGGCCCGCAAGGGUUCAGUGCCGUAGGGAAUCUGAUAAGCAUACCACCUGGGGAGUACGAUCGCAAGGUUGAAACU
rnacentral:rRNA from 1 species